GGAAGCUGACUGGGAAGAGGGAGGAGAGGAGGAGAGGAGGAGAAGAGGAUGGCUGGCAGUGUUCUGGCUCAGAUGGCGCUGGUCGUGGAGAUUUUCUGCCAGGGUGUGAAAAGAUAACCAUCAAUCAGUUGUCAAUUGGUCAAUUGCAGAAGUGAUGAAAAGGAGAAGGUUGAACAAUCCCCUCGCUCUGGCUACCUAGAGGAUUCAGAAGCCCCAGGAAAACGCGGAAGCCGGAGCAGUCUCUGGAGUGGAUUAGGCAAGCAGGUGCAGACCUGUCAGGUGCUGUGCCUGCCUGGCUGUGCGGGAGCUACUGGGGGAAGUAACUGAGGAUAUGUCAGCUGGUCUGGGCCUGGGGGAGAGACAUCAACUGGGGGGCCAAGGGCUGGCGACCGAAGACUAACGUUCAGCUAGAAGACCGAGCGGCUGCACGCUGGUGUCGGAGCUAUGUUGCCCGGGAAGCCUGCGAGCCAGGCAGGCAUGAGAACUGACUAUCCUCGGAGUAGUUUCAGCUCUCGCUAGAAACCCGUCAGUGGGUCUUGACGGCACACUUCUAACGUUGGAGGGAUACAUCGUUCUGCCAAUCAACCCACGAUAAAGACAACACCCAAACUGAAGCUGAAAACACUCCUUUGGAUUUCGAGGAAGUCACCAUGCAAAAGGUUGUUCCCUGUAAUCCUAGUCUGAGAGGGGAGAUUAAACGCCCAUAAUGUUGAAGAUUCACGACAAGGUAUGCCAACAUCUGCAGCAUCUCAGCAGAGAGAGGUGCCAUGAAUACCAUUGAGGCCCUCUCAAGACUCGCCUGGCAGUCCAAAGAUACAGAUGGGCAGCACUGAAGUUUCUCCCCAGCACGACUGUGAUAAUUGGAUUUUGCGGACACCUGUAUGAGUGCAGUAUAUCCAGGGGAUUAUGAGCAGGGAUGGGGGGAGCGUGGCUGUUUGCUGUCCUCGGUGUCACUUCCUUCAAGCACACAGAUAACUGGCCUGGCCUGCAGAGAUAGCAGCCCUCUAUCACAUCAAGGGCUGCUCAAAUCCCCGGACAGAGUGUUUGUCUUAGGGGACGGGGUCACACCCACACACACCCACACACACCCACACACACACACACACACACACACACACACACACACACACACACACACACACACACACACACACACACACCUGUGACUGGGACAUGAUGGAAGCCUCUCUCUGCUCAAGGUGUCUGAAUGAGGGCUUGUAUAUGUCAGAGAAACGGGUCCAGUUAGUGUGCUUACAUGUGUAUGAGAGAGCAUGAAUGUGUGUGUGUGUGUGUGUGUGUGUGUGUGUGUGUGUGUGUGUGUGUGUGUGUGUGUGUGUGUGUGUUUGCCUGAACCGCUGUAAUAUGUGUGUCUCUUGGCCUGCAUUCAUGGUAGGCAGUGUGGUGAAUCAAGGUGUCAUCUUCUAGUGGUCAGGACAGCCAGCUGUGUGUGUGUGUGUGUGUGUGUGUGUGUGUGUAUGUGUGUGUGUGUGUGUGUGCGUGCAUCUCUUUUGUGUUGCCAGAUGUGCUGUUGCACAUGCUGUUGUGUGAACCAUUCUCUGCUUGCAGAGGCAGACAGCUGUUUGUGUCCAUAUAUAAUGUACAUGGUUGUGUGUGUGUGUAUGUGUGUGUGUGUGUGUGCACGCAUGUGA